rnacentral:misc_RNA from 1 species
AAGACCCAAGUUCAGCUUUUUUCCAAAGUCCAGCUUUGCUAUCUGAGCGAGCCCAGAUGCAGGAACCUGCAAGUGAUGAAUCCCAUUUAAUAGGGAUAUACUUCUUUAACGAGGAUAUUGGAAUGUCAAUACCAUGUGAUAAGCGGCAACUACUACCAAAUCGACAUCGCUGCUGUAGAAAGAACUGGCACAUCACCAUGUUUUCAGACGUUGGAGUGCGGAAACAAACUUUUGCAAAAUGAGAACCCUCCAACCCCACGAUUAGACCAUUAUACCACCUUCCAUCAUUAUUGCGAAAUCUACAUUUUG